GAGAAGUAAUGAUUUAGGAUUUGAAGCCCAAACUAUUAAGCCUGUCCUAAUCUAGUUGGGUUUUCAACCUAUUUUUCCUCUCACCUGUCCUAUUUCUAUGUUUUCUGGCCCUUUGGCUCGAGUUUUCACUUUACCUGUAUUAAAUACAACUUUGGCUUCGAGGCCCAAAUGAAUGAAAAAUGAAUAAACAAAAUAAAAUAAAUAAUAAAUAAUAAAAAAACAACAACACUAAUUAAACAAAAUGAAAUAAUAAAUGAGACUUUUGUCACUUAGCCGCUUCAAAUACGGGACUUUAACCCGUUCCUUUUCUUUCGACUCUUUGUAUUUGCGCGCUAUUUAUCCGGCUUUGGGCUCUUUUUCUGGAUUGACCCAACAAGAUGGGCCUCACUGGCCCAUGAUGAAUGUGCAAGAGGGAGAGAGUUCAUGUAGGACUCAGUCGAAAGUAGGAGAGAUUAAUGUGCAGGCCCGAAGCGCAGUACACCAUACAGAUAUCCAACACAACAAAUCAAUAACAAAAGACAUGGAAUUAUUGUAAUUUUAAACAACAUAGCAAAUAGUAUGCAAAAGUAUAGAAAGUAAAAGAAACGCAAUUAUGGCUAGCACCAAUAUAUAAAUGAAACAUUUAAGACUACAUUUGUAAGAAUACUCAUAAACAGGAAUAAGCAAAUAAGGAGACGUACAAUAGAAUUGGGAAUUUAAAAUAAAUCUCUUAAGCGACCUAUUCAUAACACUAGUUGGGGAAAGAGCCAUUCUUUUCAGAGAGAUAAACCAGAGCCCCUCCCUGUACAAUUUCUUCAAAAAGGAUACAACUCCUAAACAUACCAUACCAAAAAUCGGAUAGCUUGGAACAGCGAACAACGAAAUACAAUAAUGACUUACUUAAGAAAGAGUGAAUGAAACUUGACAUAAGAGUUGUUCAAACAAGCCAAGACUCAAUAAGUUUGGAAGUUGAAGAAUAAGCAUAUUUGCACUACAGUGAGCAAGUAAGUAGCAGACCCCUGAGCAGCUAAGAAGGUCUUAAUAAUUAUCAAUCGAAUCGAAACAUGAAACUUUAAUCGCAGAAGACAGAUAAAAAAAAUUUUUGAACAGCCUGAAACUUCAAAAAAAACAUGAAACUUUAAACACGAAACCAACUUCAGUAGGAUACUAGCGAUCCGAAACAGAUCGAAGAACCUAAGACCUUAGCUAACAAACCCGCGUUAACAAGAUACUAGUUAUUCCAAACAACAAUCAGAAGCACGAACUUCACAAAAAUGUAUGGUCCUUAAGACCUCAACAACAAACAAAGCCAGCAACCAUGAUUAUACACAACAUAGCUAUACGGCUAAAAUGCUACAGCAGCAUCGCUUAGAAGAAUAAAGAAAAAGAAGAACGCAUUUUGAAACCAAAAGAGAUGAAGGGUUACCUGCUUCGGGGCAGCAAAACAGGACUCCCAAGCUAAUAUUAGACUCCAACACCACCGAAAAUCGGACCCUCUAGAAUGAUGAGUAAUUGACAACUCGAAAUAAACUUAUUGGAAAAUCAAAGUUUUACUGCGUUUUCUUCUUCCCCUCCCAGACCCUAAAGAAACAUGUUUCCAACCUAGAUUUAAACAGUAACCCCUUUCCCAAAGAAAGAUCUCCCCAAGCUUCUAACUCCAGAAACUUUUAUUCAAAUUUUCGAACCGUCGCCUCUUCGAGAAAAGAACCCCCAGAAAACCUCUCCAAAUCCCUUACUUUGAAUCAAAAUCGACCCAAACCCUAAAUUUCUCCACUCUUAGAACCUUAGAGCUCCCAGAAAAAUCCUCCUCUUCAGACCCUAAAGAGAGCUAUUUAUAGAAGGGGGGGUUGAGGGUUCGUUUUGAAUCCUCACAAAUCGCACCCCUAUUGUUCUUCUUGAACGGAUUUUCAACAGAUGGCCAACAACCAUUGGGGCAAAAUGAACGAAUGAAAAUUUGCCGAACAGGUAUGAAUCCGAAAAUCACGGAAUUCGGACGUUGGGGGUAACACCUCACUCUCUUUCUAGAAGAUUUCGUACCAAAAUCAUGUGGGAAAGCACGCGACUGUGAAGAGGAAGCAGAAAACGGGUUGAGAUAAGGGGAAUCGGGGGGGAAAUAGGUUGGGGUUUUGCAUGGUUGUUUUCGCAUUGCUGUUGGUGUAGCUUGUACGCGGUUUUUGUCGUGGCUGUUGUUUGUUUUUGGUGAGCUAUAAGCAGCUUUUGCUUAUUGAAGAAGAAAGGAUUAAAUGGUGUGGGCCGGGUAGGUUUUGUAGAUGUUUGUGCUGUUGAAAUUCGGGGCUAAUUUGGCAAAGUCAAAAGGAAAUUGGGCUUGGGCUUGUUAAUUUGAAGAGUGGCUUGGCAAUUUAAAAACUGAAAUUGAGGUUAUUAUAACACACCAAUUUGGCCUGAAAAUGCCCCGUUUAUGCCGUUUUACCCAUUUGACUACCCAAAAUAUCCUUGAAUAAAUAAAAAAAACCACACUGCGACGAUCCCCAACCUCUCUGGCAUACCCCGGUUGAUUUUUGGCCCACGUCACCCCCAAACCCUAGGCUACCCCCGAAGUCGUAGGCUUUAGCUUGAAUACACCCGUUUGCAUCGUUUGACCACCCAAAUGGCCUCGAAUAAAUAAACGAACCCUGGCAUCCUCAGUCAAUUCUUCACCCACGACACCUAUUUUGCGGAGAAAUUUUGACUUUUUGAGAAGAGUUACCACUUAAUUUUAAAAAAAAAUUAAGAAACCUGUAAAGAGUUACUUCAAACGAUCUAAAACCAAAAAAUCAUUUAAGUUAAGAGAUUCUGAAUAAGCGGUUCUUAUUAACGUUUUAGGAAGGUGUUAGGCACCUAAAAUGUCUUCGAUUAACUUCUGAAAUUUGAUUCAUUGAAAAAUGGUUGGUUUGCAAAAAAUUAAGUUUUAGCAAAUUCAUUAGGGGAUUUAACUAGGUUCGUAAAAGGCAUGCAAAACAAAUAAUCAAAAAGAAAGGGGAAGAGAGGAGAAGUAAUGAUUUAGGAUUUGAAGCCCAAACUAUUAAGCCUGUCCUAAUCUAGUUGGGUUUUCAACCUAUUUUUCCUCUCACCUGUCCUAUUUCUAUGUUUUCUGGCCCUUUGGCUCGAGUUUUCACUUUACCUGUAUUAAAUACAACUUUGGCUUCGAGGCCCAAAUGAAUGAAAAAUGAAUAAACAAAAUAAAAUAAAUAAUAAAUAAUAAAAAAACAACAACACUAAUUAAACAAAAUGAAAUAAUAAAUGAGACUUUUGUCACUUAGCCGCUUCAAAUACGGGACUUUAACCCGUUCCUUUUCUUUCGACUCUUUGUAUUUGCGCGCUAUUUAUCCGGCUUUGGGCUCUUUUUCUGGAUUGACCCAACAAGAUGGGCCUCACUGGCCCAUGAUGAAUGUGCAAGAGGGAGAGAGUUCAUGUAGGACUCAGUCGAAAGUAGGAGAGAUUAAUGUGCAGGCCCGAAGCGCAGUACACCAUACAGAUAUCCAACACAACAAAUCAAUAACAAAAGACAUGGAAUUAUUGUAAUUUUAAACAACAUAGCAAAUAGUAUGCAAAAGUAUAGAAAGUAAAAGAAACGCAAUUAUGGCUAGCACCAAUAUAUAAAUGAAACAUUUAAGACUACAUUUGUAAGAAUACUCAUAAACAGGAAUAAGCAAAUAAGGAGACGUACAAUAGAAUUGGGAAUUUAAAAUAAAUCUCUUAAGCGACCUAUUCAUAACACUAGUUGGGGAAAGAGCCAUUCUUUUCAGAGAGAUAAACCAGAGCCCCUCCCUGUACAAUUUCUUCAAAAAGGAUACAACUCCUAAACAUACCAUACCAAAAAUCGGAUAGCUUGGAACAGCGAACAACGAAAUACAAUAAUGACUUACUUAAGAAAGAGUGAAUGAAACUUGACAUAAGAGUUGUUCAAACAAGCCAAGACUCAAUAAGUUUGGAAGUUGAAGAAUAAGCAUAUUUGCACUACAGUGAGCAAGUAAGUAGCAGACCCCUGAGCAGCUAAGAAGGUCUUAAUAAUUAUCAAUCGAAUCGAAACAUGAAACUUUAAUCACAAAAGUCAGGUAAAAAAAAAUAAUUCCAACAGCCUGAAACUUUAAACACGAAACCAACUUCAGUAGGAUACUAGCGAUCCGAAACAGAUCGAAGAACCUAAGACCUUAGCUAACAAACCCGCGUUAACAAGAUACCAGUUAUUCCAAACAACAAUCAGAAGCACGAACUUCACAAAAAUGUAUGGUCUUUAAGACCUCAACAACCAACAACGCCAGCAACCACGAUUAUACACAACAUAGCUAUACGGCUAAAAUGCUACAGCAGCAUCGCUUAGAAGAAUAAAGAAAAAGAAGAACGCAUUUUGAAACCAAAAGAGAUGAAGGGUUAC
rnacentral:lncRNA from 1 species